UGUUGCUGGUGUGGAAUGGAGAAAGGGGGCCAUAAACCAGAGAAUGCAGUGAUCUCUAGAAGCUAGAAGAGGCAUGGAAAUGGAUUCUCCCCUGAAAGCCUCCAGAAAGAGACAUAAACCUGCCUACACUUUUAUUUUGCCCAGUGAGACCUGUGUUGUGGACCUAUCACUAAGUUUCUGGUGCUUGACCCAAGUAUCAGGAUGCUCUAGAGCCUCACCGGCACUCCAGAAUUCCUCACUGGUAUUCGCACCGUGAAUCAGCCCCAGCAUUUGCUUUCUGCUGCCUUUUCCUGAUCUAUCAUUGGAAGAUCCUCAACUAUGAGUCACUGUGAUGAUGUACAACAGGAAUGGCCUCACAUGGAAACCUUUUUGGUCCAGGCUGGGUUGUGAGGCAGGUUCAACUCUUCAGAGACUGAUAGUUCGGAACACAAAGAGCAGUUUCUUUAUGUGAGAGGAAUGGGGUAGAUGGUAUAUAUGGAGGCUGUAUCAAUGGUAAAGUACAAAAUAAA
ensembl:lncRNA